rnacentral:lncRNA from 1 species
UGACCAUGGCACAUGGCAGUCAAUCGCUUCUCUUCGAUCAGAUUCAGCUGGUCAUAACGACUCUGAAUCCGUUCAGCAUCAGUCAACUUGGGGUUUGAGGGCGCCAUUUUUUUUUCUUUUUUCUUUCUUUUUUUUUAUUCUUUUUUUUAUUUUGAUUUUAUUUUUCAACCCUCCUCUUUUUUUUACAUUGUAAUGCCCCAAUUUGACUAUUUUGUUGAUUCUCAAGAUGCAGAUGAAUGAUCUUCUUUUCAUACUCAAGAAGACGGGAAAUCUCGUCAG